rnacentral:rRNA from 1 species
AUUGAACGCUGGCGGCAGGCCUAACACAUGCAAGUCGAGCGGUAACACAGGGAGCUUGCUCCCGGGUGACGAGCGGCGGACGGGUGAGUAAUGUCUGGGAAACUGCCUGAUGGAGGGGGAUAACUACUGGAAACGGUAGCUAAUACCGCAUAACGUCGCAAGACCAAAGAGGGGGACCUUCGGGCCUCUUGCCAUCAGAUGUGCCCAGAUGGGAUGAGCUAGUAGGUGGGGUAACGGCUCACCUAGGCGACGAUCCCUAGCUGGUCUGAGAGGAUGACGAGCCAAACUGGAACUGAGACACGGGCCAGACUCCUACGGGAGGCAGCAGUGAGGAAUAUUGCACAAUGGGCGCAAGCCUGAUGCAGCCAUGCCGCGUGUAAGAAGAAGGCCUUCGGGUUGUAAAGUACUUUCAGCGGGGAGGAAGGUGUUGAGGUUAAUAACCUCAGCAAUUGACGUUACCCGCAGAAGAAGCACCGGCUAACUUCGUGCCAGCCGCCGCGGUAAUAC